CACAAUCUCUUCUCCAGGCUUUCUCUUCUCCAGACUAACCAGUCCUAGCUCUCUCAGGCUUUCCCCAUAGGAGAGAUGCUUCAGACCCUUCAACACCUUCAUGGUCCUUUUUUGGACUCCCUCCAGUAUGUCUGUAUUUCUUGUACUGGGCAGUACAGCAUGCCCCAUGUGUGGCUUCACCAGGGUUGAGCAGAAGGGAAGGAUCACAUCCUUGGCCUGCUGGCAGCACUAAGAAGAAUAAUUUUGAGACUAAUCAGGGAAUUCUCUGAACUUCUUUUCUGGCUGAAACAGUCCAGAGACCCCUGGCAUCAGUCUGGCAUGUAGGCCAAAUCAUUUGGAUAGUUGCCCUAUGGAGCAGAAAAGACCACGUGUUUUCAGCUUUUGUGAUAUUUGUUGUUUCUUGG